UAUUAAACUAGAGGGUCCAAGGACCCUGUGUCGCUCACCUGAUAUUUUUAUUUACAAUUGUUGCAUGAUAAAUGCAACUGUUGUACUGUCGUUUAGUUUCAGAGAUAUAAUACUAAAAAGUGCAUUUGAAACCUAUGUUUAAUUUCAGCCAUGUGGGCAGGCAGGGUCAUCAUACACAGUGGUCCCUGGAUAUCCUAGUGGUGAUUUAAACCAAGUUUGUUUAAAUUCAACAGUUGUUUCAGGGGAGAAUUUUUGUAAAAUUUAUCUAACAAGAAAUGCAAAGUAAUGAGAAAGUUGUGAAGUAGUUUUGUUGUUGCGCAACCCCCCCCCCCCACUUUGCCCAAAAAAACAAAAAGGUAAUAAAAAAUUAUCAUAUAAGGGCAAUCUAUCCUAUUAAUGAUUUCUGCAAAAUUCAGUUGAUUGUGCAAGGGUUGUAUAGCCAGCUGAGGUCGUUAAAAACUCUCUUUCUUUUGUUGUUGCAGAUAGAUCUUGAC
rnacentral:lncRNA from 1 species